AUUUAAGAGACUCUUGGUCCAGAAUGUUCUGUACUGUCGCCUCCGGCAAAU
rnacentral:sRNA from 1 species